CCUACGGGGGGCAGCAGUGGGGAAUAUUGCGCAAUGGGCUUACGCCUGAACCAGCCAAGUCGCGUGAGGGAAGACUGCCCUAUGGGUUGUAAACCUCUUUUGUCAGGGAGCAACGCCGGCUACGUGUAGCCGGACUGAGAGUACCUGAAGAAAAAGCACCGGCUAAAUACGUGCCAGCAGCCGCGGUAAUACGUAUGGUGCAAGCGUUAUCCGGAUUUACUGGGUGUAAAGGGAGCGCAGGCGGCACGGCAAGCCUGAUGUGAAAGCCCGCGGCCCAACCGCGGGACUGCAUUGGGAACUACCGG
rnacentral:rRNA from 1 species